UAGGGAAUCUUCCACAAUGGACGCAAGUCUGAUGGAGCAACGCCGCGUGAGUGAAGAAGGUUUUCGGACCGUAAAGCUCUGUUGUUGGUGAAGAAGGAUAGAGGUAGUAACUGGCCUUUAUUUGACGGUAAUCAACCAGAAAGUCACGGCUAACUACGUGCCAGCAGCCGCGGUAAUCGUAGGUGGCAAGCGUUGUCCGGAUUUAUUGGGCGUAAAGCGAGCGCAGGCGGAAGAAUAAGUCUGAUGUGAAAGCCCUCGGCUUAACCGAGGAAUUGCAUCGGAAACUGUUUUUCUUGAGUGCAGAAGAGGAGAGUAGAACUCCAUGUGUAGCGGUGGAAUGCGUAGAUAUAUGGAAGAAUACCAGUGGCGAAGGCGGCUCUCUGGUCUGCAACUGACGCUGAGGCUCGAAAGCAUGGGUAGCGAACAGGAUUAGAUACCCUUGGUA
rnacentral:rRNA from 1 species